rnacentral:tRNA from 1 species
AGGGCUUUAAGUUAAUUAAACUGCUAGUUUUCAAAACUGGUAAUAUGACGAUUUUACUAUUAUUAUGUUUUAAGUCUUG